ACUGUAAUCCUGGAGGUCGCAUUUUGUGCUGCAUGCCUUUUUCUCCCUCUCUGCACAGGACAAGGUCGACCUUCUGUCAAUGAAAGAGAUGCUGGAAUCCAUCAGAGGAAAUGCCGAAAUUCCCCUCUCGGUGCAGUCUUUGAGGUUCCUGACCCUUGACCUCCUGGAGAUGGAGUCCUUUGUGAACCAGAAUAAGUUCCAGCCCAUCAAACGUCAG